CUUUGACGACGCUGCACCAUGAAAACAACACCUGCAGAUGGUCGGCUUGAUCACCCCCACCUCACGAUCCUGGCUUUGAAUCCAUAUCGAUGCAUCUGUGCAUGUCAAUGGAGGAUGCCAAGCUUUUCGUCUGCCUGAAGCAAAGCAUACUUCAACGCUAGUGAUACUGUCAGUGGCUAUGAAGCCCACUGGAGGCUCUUCAAGGUUUCCAAGUUCAUAUAUCCACGCUGGUUACAUUGGAGUCCAAGCCAAUGCAGAAUGGGAGGAGGCUCUUUGAGUUGCUACAAGAGCAGGCUGCGUUGUGCUGGCUCGAGAGCGCUUGCAGGAGGCUUAGAAAGCUCAGCAUCCAUGGCUUCAACAGGAGGAGAGGAGGGAGGCCGUACUAAACAAAGCUGCAUGCAACAUGGUAAUGAAGAAGGGCCCGAACUGGGAGCCCGUAGCUCUCGUAAGAGGAAGAUGCAGCAGUUUCUGUUCUUUCUUUGACAUGGGUGGCAAAACCCACGUAGGGCUUCGAGGGAAUGCAGCCGCUAAAUCUGUGCUCGAGCUGCACUUUGACGAAGGUUGGUUCACCGUUCGCAACCCCAUGUAGCCAUACAGCUUCUCUCGUCCUUAAUUCCUUGCAGUAGAUGACGAGCUCCUUCCUCGGGUGAACGCUCGCACCAAGAUGCCUCCGGAGCAGCAGCGCCAUGUUCUCCUGGAUUCUCUAUGGGAGGUGGAAGAUAGGCUUUGAAGGUCUCAUGAGGAGAAAGGAGGUUUCACGAACAUAAGCCGAUCGAUAGAUUCUGAUCUGUCCACGUCCAGGGAAGGAUGGAACCAUUUCUGGCUUGAAAUGAAGGAGAUCGGCGUCGAGAUCGAAACCAUCUUCUUCGAAGAGAUCAGAGAAGAAGCUGCACAAGAAAUGCUAAUUGAUGGAUUCGUGGAGAGUUGGGGUACGUACGUGUUGGGUUUGGUGGGCCCAUUAAUUGAUGCGUGGAGACUCGGUGUAUUUAUGUGUCGGGUUUGGUGGGCCCAAAACAUGAAUGCAAGUUUUGAGCCUGUUUACGGCUCAGUGCCAGUGUCGGCCCAAAAUUGAAAUCUAGGGUUAGGGUUCCUCAUUAAUUGGUUCGGCCGUUCGGGUGCGUUUGCGUUCCAGCCGUCUUGGUUUGUUCCUGCUCUCUCCUUUCGUUCUUUCAUUCUCCCUUCCGUUUUCGUUUGUUUGUUUUCUCAUUUUCUUUCACUCUGCUCUUGUGGCUGUGAUGACUAUUUCGUUUCUCGAAUCUGAUAUCGAUGUCAUUCGAGGACCGCCUUGAUGACUUCAUUUGUGCGUGUCUGAGCCAUUUUUGUUCUUGUUCUUCGAUCUAAAUUGUAGAAAUCAAACAUUUAGAUCAUCUGAUUGAUGGGAUCGGAUGACGAUCGAUGUGGAUUUUACUUUUGUUACUGAUUUGAUAGUUUGAUUAGGCUUCAUAUGUGCAUAUUGAUUGGAUCAGUGGAGAAGGAAGGGGAAGUUGAUUAAUGAGAACCCAAAUUUAAUAUGCUUGUUUUAGCUCUUGGAGGCCUUCUUUCUUGUGAAAUUUUAGAUUUCAAUGUUGCUUGGUCUCAGGAAGAUGCCAGCUAAAUCUUGGGGCUUUCUCCAUCAAGGAGCUCUUUGAGUUGGAGGAUCUGUGUGAUGCAUGCAUGUGGUGUGUUUACUGCACUGUUCUUGACUCAUAUGGGCGCAUUUAAUCUUUGAAUGGAUAGCUUUUGGUUGAACGAGACCGAUUCUGAGCUGUUUUCAUUGAAGGUGUGACAAUCAUUGGUUAUUGGGAUUUCAUGUUUUUACUCAUUGGUUUGUCUCUUUGUUUAUUUUUUUGAGAUUUAAUUAUUUUCCUUACCAAGUGCAUGUUUGAUGAGUAAUUCUACUUCUUGAUCUUGAUAUCUUGUUUUCGUUUUGACUACUUGUGUAUGUAUCUCGGACAACUUUUUCUUGUUCAGAAUGUGUAGUUUAGCAAAAUAUUGUUAGUUCUGUGUACCAAAAUGACCUCAGAGAUAGCGAUAUGUUUCAUCGGAAGAGUAAAUGUCACGUAAAAAUAUUCUCUCAUAUCAGUUUGGGUUUCCUAAGUGUAAAUUCCAAAUAUUUCUCUUCUUGUAGGUACAAAGAAAGCCUUUUAUUAUAUGGCAUGAAAUUUAGUCAGGGGAGCAUACGUAAGUAUAAACUCGCAUUGCAUUUAUAUCUCAUUGUUCUCAUCAGGAUAGACUAUAUAAAUUACUUUGAGUCUCAUGUAGAUCUUACAAAAUGCUGAUUCUAAUAUGGCAUUAGAUGCAUUGAGUACUUGACAUGUUCUGAGAUUAUGAUGCAUGCCAAUAACAGGAAAUCAGACAGACUUCAUCCUUUUUUCACUGUUUAAUUUGAUCAGAUGUGGCCAUUUACAGCACAGUAGUGUUUCUGCAUUAUGCCAGAAUGCCAUCGAUGCUGCUGCUGCUUUGUUUCCUCCUGUGAGCCUCAUAUGACUGAAGCAAUUCACAUUGGCACAGCAAAAUGUGAAUCAAGAGAACGUUUAUCUUCAUAUGUCUCGACUCAUUCCUCGGAUUGUUGGGAAUUUUAUAGCAAUUCAGGUGGUAUAUUUGUGCCUCCACACAGUUUGCUGGGACAUGAAUCGUGGGAAUUAACGAGUUGGAUUGGGUUUCUUAUGUUAUCAAUUGAUAGUAUGUUAUGUUACGGAUGUUAGCACCAUAGCAGUGACCUCCAAAGUUGGCUGUGCUCCACAUUGUAAAAGAUUAUUUCUAGUUAGAAUUAAUCAAAAUGCACAAUAAAUCCACUCCAUCAUUCUUUCA